UGCAUAUCACAGAGAGAUGCAUGGGUGUUACACUCAGAAAAAGAGUGAACAACUAGAAGAUGUGGAAGGCAAGCUUUUUAGUAUUAAGAGGUUUAGAUUCCAGAAGAUAUUUAAGCUCUAUCAAUCAAACUUGGAUUUGAGCAUUGUACUCAACUGAACUUGGACUUGAAUUUGGAGUCAAAUUCCAUUCGGGAUUUUGCCAGUGUGCAAGGCAUUUACUUUUGCUGUUGCAUUUCUUUUAGACCCAGUUUGGCUCUGGAGUCAAUAAUUCUCAAAACAGCUUUCUGAACUCUGGAUCGCAGUAAAGCUGGUGUUCUCCUGAAGCCAACAUUUAUGAUAUCACCUUGCUGAUCCAGGCAAAAUGGCAAAAGUGUAGUGAACAUAAAGCCAGGGGCUGGGAUUGUGGACAUCCUCUGUACCAAGUUUCUGAUUAUGGCAAGGGUAGAAGUUCGCCAGGUCAGUAAUGUGAUUUUGUCCAAGGAGACAUUUCUGGAGAUCUAGCCUAAACAUUGCUCCUCCAACUCUUCCCAUAAUUUGUUAACGAUUAAAUAAUUGUUCUGUUUAAAA